GUGAAUCAUCGAAUCUUUGAACGCAAAUUGCACUCUCUGGUAUUCCGGAGAGUAUGCCUGUUUGAGGGUCAGUAUAACUAACAAUCGGUGUGGUUGCUGCCUUUCGUGGUGACGCACCGCAUUUGAGUCGCAUUGCCCUCGAUUAAGUGACCUAAAAUUUUGCAUGAUAUUUUUCGUACGUAUUUACAUGAUUUUACGUACGUUUGCGAUAUCCAAUACUAGGUGUGGUCAUCGUCAUGA
rnacentral:misc_RNA from 1 species